UAGCUUACCUGGCGCGCGGGGGAUACCGUGAUCAAGAAGCGCGGUGGCCUCCAGGACGAGGCCUGUACAUUGCACUCCGUAUGGGCUGACUCCUGCGACUACCCCAAAUCGGGGUGGCUCGAGCGCAUAAUUUUUGGUAGUGGGGACAAAGCGUUCGCGCUGUCCCUUU
rnacentral:snRNA from 1 species